AUGGAAAUGAUGAUUAUUUCCCCAGAUGAUCGACUUUGAAAUCACUGAGCGUUUUAAAUUCUCAUUUAUGGGAAUUCAAGCCAGAUUUCUGAUCCGU
rfam:Spinacia oleracea cultivar SynViroflay scaffold17721.con0007.1, whole genome shotgun sequence.